rnacentral:rRNA from 1 species
ACUCCUACGGGAGGCAGCAGUGGGAAGUAUUGCACAAUGGGGGAAACCCUGAUGCAGCCAUGCCGCGUGUGUGAAGAAGGCCUCGGUUGUAAAGCACUUUCAGUAGGGAGGAAGGUAGUGUAGUUAAUACCUGCAUUAUUUGACGUUACCUACAGAAGAAGCACCGGCUAACUCCGUGCCAGCAGCCGCGGUAAUACGGAGGGGUGCGAGCGUUAAUCGGAAUUACUGGGCGUAAAGCGCAUGCAGGCGGCCUGUUAAGUCAGAUGUGAAAGCCCGGGGGCUUAACCUCGGAAUUGCAUUUGAAACUGGCAGGCUAGAGUCUUGUAGAGGGGGUAGAAUUUCAGGUGUAGCGGUGAAAUGCGUAGAGAUCUGAAGGAAUACCAGUGGCGAAGGCGGCCCCCUGGACAAAGACUGACGCUCAGAUGCGAAAGCGUGGGGAGCAAACAGGAUUAGAUACCCUGGUAGCACAGAGC